GUGCCUACGGGGCGCAGCAGUGGGGAAUAUUGCACAAUGGAGGAAACUCUGAUGCAGCGAUGCCGCGUGAGGGAAGAAGGUUUUCGGAUUGUAAACCUCUGUCUUAAGGGACGAUAAUGACGGUACCUUAGGAGGAAGCUCCGGCUAACUACGUGCCAGCAGCCGCGGUAAUACGUAGGGAGCGAGCGUUGUCCGGAAUUACUGGGUGUAAAGGGAGUGUAGGCGGGAAAGCAAGUCAGAUGUGAAAACCAUGGGCUCAACCUGUGGCCUGCAUUUGAAACUGUUUUUCUUGAGUACCGGAGAGG
rnacentral:rRNA from 1 species